AGUGAACGCUGGCGGUAGGCCUAACACAUGCAAGUCGAACGGCAGCACAGUAAUAGCUUGCUCUUACGGGUGGCGAGUGGCGGACGGGUGAGGAAUACAUCGGAAUCUACUUUUUCGUGGGGGAUAACGUAGGGAAACUUACGCUAAUACCGCAUACGACCUACGGGUGAAAGCAGUGGAUCUUCGGACCUUGCGCGAUUGAAUGAGCCGAUGUUGGAUUAGCUAGUUGGCGGGGGAAAGGCCUACCAAGGCGACGAUCCGUAGCUGGUCUGAGAGGAUGAUCACCCGCACUGGAACUGAGCCAGCGUCCAUACUCCUACGGGAGGCAGCAGUCGGCAAUAUUGGACAAUGGGCGCAAGCCUGGUCCAGCCAUCCCGCGUGUGUGAAGAAGGCCUUCGGGUUGUAAAGCCCUUUUGUUGGGAAAGAAACGCAGCAGGUUAAUACCCCGCUGUUCUGACGGUACCCAAAGAAUAAGCACCGGCUAACUUCGUG
rnacentral:rRNA from 1 species